rnacentral:rRNA from 1 species
GACGAACGCUGGCGGCGUGCUUAACACAUGCAAGUCGAACGGAAAGGCCCUGCUUGCAGGGUACUCGAGUGGCGAACGGGUGAGUAACACGUGGGUGAUCUGCCCUGCACUUCGGGAUAAGCUUGGGAAACUGGGUCUAAUACCGGAUAGGAGCCAUCUUUAGUGUGGUGGUUGGAAAGUUUUUUCGGUGUAGGAUGAGCUCGCGGCCUAUCAGCUUGUUGGUGGGGUAAUGGCCUACCAAGGCGGCGACGGGUAGCCGGCCUGAGAGGGUGUACGGCCACAUUGGGGCUGAGAUACGGCCCAGACUCCUACGGGAGGCAGCAGUGGGGAAUAUUGCACAAUGGGCGCAAGCCUGAUGCAGCGACGCCGCGUGGGGGAUGAAGGCCUUCGGGUUGUAAACUCCUUUCGCUAGGGACGAAGCUUUUUUGUGACGGUACCUAGAUAAGAAGCACCGGCUAACUACGUG